rnacentral:rRNA from 1 species
AGUGAACGCUGGCGGUAGGCCUAACACAUGCAAGUCGAACGGCAGCACAGGAGAGCUUGCUCUCUGGGUGGCGAGUGGCGGACGGGUGAGGAAUACAUCGGAAUCUACUCUGUCGUGGGGGAUAACGUAGGGAAACUUACGCUAAUACCGCAUACGACCUACGGGUGAAAGCAGGGGAUCUUCGGACCUUGCGCGAUUGAAUGAGCCGAUGUCGGAUUAGCUAGUUGGCGGGGUAAAGGCCCACCAAGGCGACGAUCCGUAGCUGGUCUGAGAGGAUGAGCAGCCACACUGGAACUGAGACACGGUCCAGACUCCUACGGGAGGCAGCAGCGGGGAAUAUUGGACAAUGGGCGCAAGCCUGAUUCAGCCAUACCGCGUGGGUGAAGAAGGCCUUCGGGUUGUAAAGCCCUUUUGUUGGGAAAGAAAUCCAGCUGGCUAAUACCCGGUUGGGAUGACGGUACCCAAAGAAUAAGCACCGGCUAACUUCGUGCCAGCCGCCGCAGUAA